UAAAAAGAUAGGUUGGCACUCCCUGAGGGUU
rnacentral:piRNA from 1 species